rnacentral:rRNA from 1 species
UACGAAGGGAGCUAGCGUUGUUCGGAAUCACUGGGCGUAAAGCGCACGUAGGCGGAUUUGUCAGUCAGGGGUGAAAUCCCGGGGCUCAACCUCGGAACUGCCUUUGAUACAGCAAGUCUUGAGUUCGAGAGAGGUGGGUGGAAUUCCUAGUGUAGAGGUGAAAUUCGUAGAUAUUAGGAAGAACACCGGUGGCGAAGGCGGCCUACUGGCU